UGUGCCUUCUCUCUCUCUCUCUCUCUCUCUGUGUGCUCUCUCCCUUUCUGCUCCAGAGCCCGGCUGGCUACCCACACCUGCACCUUGUUAACCUCCAUCCCCGGCCGCCGCACCUGCCAGCCAUCAGCCUCAUCACGACCAGUAUUUCUACCCCGGCUUUCCACUCCAUCCUCGCUUGAUCGUCGCAGCUCCUGACUUGGUUCACUCACCUCUGCCUCCCAGUUCGGCCAGCCGGGCUUGCUCGCCAGCCUCCACGACGCCCUCCGGCUUCCCCCCCUCCACUCCACCGGGUCCCCAGUCACCGCGUUCUCUCCUCCACUUCUGCCAGCCUCCCUCGAACCUCCAGCCUAAGCUCCUUCCGCUCCUCCAGCUGCUCGGUCCCCCGUGUCCUCACCUGCCACUCCCGUCUCUCCGCGUCCCCCUUUUUUCCUCAAUAAACCUCUUUUUCAAAGCCUCA